GGGAACUGAUCCUGCCUCGCUGUCUGGAGCUGCUGGCUGAGGUGGGUGGGUGCUGGUGAAGCAGCUACGCAGAGACAGCGCUCCACAUGUGAGACUAGCGAUGUGUCUGUGGCUGCUUGAGUUCCUCCUGAACGUGCCACGCUGCCAUGGCACUGCAGGAUUCCCAGUCCCUUGGGGUUCCUGACCAAGUUUGCUUAACUUACCACUUCAAAAACAUUCUGUUCUAAUUGGGGCUCGCCUGCUUUUUGAUUCAUCUGUCACUGUUUGCAGUGAAGACUUUGCUAUUGCCAUGGAUAAACAAUGCUGUUGGAGACGGGAGCCAGAGUGGAAUUUGCUCAUUCCCCAGCACUGAGCUGGCUUUGCACAGUAGUGGGAAGGAAGAAUUAUACAAAUAAAUAGAGAGGGUUUGUUGUGACACCGAGACAAAGUGGAUGGAGCAAGGAAGCUUCUUUCUGUUCUUUAAACAACUCUGUGAGUAUGGUCCAGGUUGAAAAGUGUAUUGGGCUUUUUCAGACAAAGCCACGCUUUAUAUUCCCAUGUUGUAAAGUCUGGAUCUCCAGGCUGCCCUGGGCCGCUCAGACUCUCAGAUGCCCCAUGGUAAGGACUCCCUGGAUGUACAAGAAGUCCCACCAGGGCCAUUGCUCUUCACCGUCCCUCUGCUCUGGCAGUGACGCACGGCACUAAGCACCCAGCGGCAGCUGCUGACCUCGGCAGUGGCUUAUUGCAUCAGAGCUUAAGGUGGCACAUUUGUGCACUGGGAAGAUAAACCUUUAAUCCUUCUUGUACGCCCAGGUAGGGUGCAAAGAGCUGCACUUGCAGUUCCAUGGUGGCACUCUCUGGCCUUGGCAACAAGUGUGAAAAGUUAAUUGAGAGGGACUUAGGACGAGCGGGGGGUGUUUUCAUGUAACAUGAAGGAAGACCUUUGGGACUACCCAGAGUGACUGUGGCCUGCCUUGGCUGUAGCCAGCCAGGCCUUCUUUUGUCCAUGGGGCCAGCACUUCAGCUCCUUCAGACCUUCCCCACUUGGAGUGAAGGUUUCCAGCUUGGUUUCUUCCUUAAAGAGAGCACAGUGCUUUGUGCUUUGUUCCUUUAAACCUUCUGCAUGUGCAAACCUAACCCACGGGGAACACGGUAAAACUAGGCCAGGACUGAAGGAAAUUUGUUCAGGCCAAGAGGACAUAAGCUUCUGCCCACCUCGUGGCCCUGAGCUCCAGCAGCUCUGGCACAUCCUCCCAUGCUGGAUGCAGCACUCAGUCGUUCACGCCUCUGCCCAGCCCCAGC
rnacentral:lncRNA from 1 species